rnacentral:rRNA from 1 species
UACGAAGGGUGCAAGCGUUACUCGGAAUUACUGGGCGUAAAGCGUGCGUAGGUGGUUGUUUAAGUCUGUUGUGAAAGCCCUGGGCUCAACCUGGGAAUUGCAGUGGAUACUGGGCGACUAGAGUGUGGUAGAGGGUAGUGGAAUUCCUGGUGUAGCAGUGAAAUGCGUAGAGAUCAGGAGGAACAUCCAUGGCGAAGGCAGCUACCUGGACCAACACUGACACUGAGGCACGAAAGCGUGGGGAGCAUACAGG